GGAAUCAAGUUUUCCCUGUGUGUUUUCCAGCUGAAAGCUUUCGCCCGAGCCAAGGAAGCCGCCGGGUACAGCCGGGAGGAGCUGCAGGAGACCUUCGCCUUCCUCCUCUUUGACAAGGAAGAAGAGGCGAGGGAGGUGUGUCGGACGGGCCUCCGGGUCAACAGCAGCUCCAUCUCCACGCUCGGAGACCCGGCCAAAGGGGUUUAUAUUUCCAAGCAUGCAGACUGCCUCCAUCCCAGCCCCUGGCACCAUGGAAAAUCGGGAUAUAUUGUCAUUUGCAAGCUAAUUAAGGUAAAAUCCAAGUUUUUUUUGGUUUUUUUUUUUGUAUGGAUUGGUUUUCAGAGGCCACUAAAGAGCUCGAGUGGGUUUUAAGGAGACUUGUGGUGCCCGUAACUGGGGCGAGGGGGUGAAAUCACAUCCCACAGAGUCACACAUUCCCUGGAUUCUCCUGCAUUUUGGGGGAU